rnacentral:rRNA from 1 species
AGUGAACGCUGGCGGUAGGCCUAACACAUGCAAGUCGAACGGCAGCACAGUAAGAUCUUGCUUUUACGGUUGGCGAGUGGCGGACGGGUGAGGAAUACAUCGGCAUCUACUUUUUCGUGGGGAAUAACGUAGGGAAACUUCCGCUAAUACCGCAUAUGUCCUACGGGUUAAAGCAGGGGUUCUUCGGACUUUGCCCGUUUCAUUGAGCGGGUUCCGGUUUACGUAGUUGGGGGGGUAAGGGCCCACCAAGGCGAGGACCCGGUGCUGGUCUGAGAGGGUGGUCAGCCAAAAUGGAAAUGAGAAAAGGUCCAGAAUCCUACGGGAGGCAGCAGUGGGGAAUAUUGGACAAUGGGCGCAAGCCUGAUCCAGCCAAACCGCGUGGGUGAAGAAGGCCUUCGGGUUGUAAAGCCCUUUUGUUGGGAAAGAAAAGCAGCAGAUUAAUACCCCGCUGUUCUGACGGUACCCAAAGAAUAAGCACCGGCUAACUUCGUG